AGGGUUUGAUUAUGGCUCAGGAUGAACGCUGGCGGCAUGCCUAAGACAUGCAAGUCGAACGAGAUGGCCCAGUGAAGGUUGCGUGCUUGCACAAGACUGAAUCUGGAUCACCAUCUAGUGGCAGACGGGUGAGUAACACGUGGGUGACCUACCUUUUCGUUGGGGAUAACAGUUGGAAACGAUUGCUAAUACCGAAUAAAAUAUAAGAGCCAAUUUUAUAUUGAAAGGAGCCUUUAAAGCUUCGCGAUUAGAUGGGCCUGCGGCGUAUUAACUUGUUGGUGAGGUAACGGCUCACCAAGGUAACGAUGCGUAGCCGAACUGAGAGGUUGAUCGGCCACACUGGGACUGAGACACGGCCCAG
rnacentral:rRNA from 1 species